GAGCCCGCAGGUCCCCAUCCGACAGCGCGAUGCGCCCUCGGGUGAUUUUUCG
rnacentral:sRNA from 1 species